AAAAAGCCCCCCCGUAGCUUCUGCGGGGGGCUCUGUCGCUCUCCACCCCCCACCCCCCCCCCGCGCCGCCUCCUCAAGACACGCUCGGUCUGCUUGGACGCGCCUACCGGCGGACAAACGAGGAGGCAUGGUCCUUCAAUGUUGUGACAAUAAAUUUAUGGACCAGUUACUCAAUGGUUUGAAGAUCUGGUGUUACUGGUGAAGAUGAAGAUGUUCCUUACAGAUAUACAUUAGGUAUGGGCUGUAACAAGACAUAGUCAUUCCAAAAGUUAUAUAAAGCAUUUGUCAACUUUGAACUGAACCUGGCUACAGUCAUCUUUCUGCUCCUCAGUUGCCACAAGAAGGGGAAGGGGGUUGGAAUGCAUUACUGGACACAACAAAGAAGUUUCUCAUGAGAACCAAGGUCAUCUCUACUGGCAACAGAUAAGAUUGGAGAAGGAGUGCCUGAAGAGCCCGCCAAUUAACCCAAUUGGCCAGUGUGACCUGUGACCCUUGGGGAUGGGGUUUAUUUCCUAGUUUAAUUAUAUUAAAACUGCAGGAAAGAUUUAGAUUUGGUUUUCCAUUCAAGCUGCACUGAUAUGAUGUACUCAUUAAAGAAGACCUUUGAGAAGAAGCCAAGUUUCAAGAGUUCUGAUUUGCUUGGGUUCGUUAGUCAGAGCCUUGACUAACCAUUAUUGACAUGUCAUACCUAUAUGGGAAACUACACAAAGUAGCCACACAGGGAGAUGGGCAGCAAAUAAAUUUAACAAAUAAGUAUCUA